ensembl:lncRNA novel transcript
AGCUAUCAACGGAGUAUUCACAGUACGCUGCUCACAGUUCUAACCGCGGAGGAUAGAGUUGAGGCCCACACGACAGCCCCUGCUCUCACAGAACUGAUGUCUCUAGAAGAGUCUUCCCUCAGUGAGAACGUUCUGAUUUCUAGAACAUUCUUUCUUCUGAUGAGUGAACAGCCUCACCGGAACUUCCCCAUCCUCCUGGCUUGGUUCCUGAAGUGGCCCAAGGCUGCCUUCUCCCUCCCGUGGGUGAACAGGGUCACUGCUUCCUCUCUUGUCCAGGCCCCCUGGCCUGACCCUGAGUCCCGGGCGUAACGGCGUUGUUGAACCACCACAACCCCAGGCGGCGCCUUCCUCUUGGCCCAGGGGCUCUCUUGGGGACAGUGUGCAGUACUCCCCAAGGGGGCUUUGCUGUGCAAAAGCAGCCCCUGCCGAUGCUGCGGCUCCCGUGGAUGGAGCACUGCCGUGGGAACAGAGUUGGAACUCAUCCAAAAGAAUAAAAGACAACUGUGUUGGAAGAUUGCCAAGGUUUGUAGCUGUGCCACCGCAGACUUCAGAGAUGAACACUGCCUUGGAGACGAGGAGGAUUCAAGUUGCAGAAGCAUUUAGAAACCUCAAACUUGAGACACGGUGGGAAAUCAGGAAGACAUGAGGCUUUGCUCAACACUGGAGAACACCAGUUCUUUUCAGUUUGUAUGCAUCUUUAUCAGAUAAUUGUGCUACAAAAUUGAUGCCAUACAAAUGGACAAAGAAUUUGCAGCCAAAAAUGUACAAAAAAGGUUUGUCCAAUAGAACAUAAAACUGUGACGCUUGAAGAUAAACGUGACCUUGACCAGCCCUGAGGAACUUCAGGACUGAAUCCUGCAGUAGAAGCAAGAACAGGCUAUUGGGAGACUCUGGUCCUCAACUGCACAAAGAAGGGCCCAUAUCCUCAACUCUGCCACAGACCUCUUUGAUUCCAGUUGGAAGCCUGGAGAUUUCACUGCUGCUGAGGAGGGUUCCAGGGACUGGGAAACCUGAGCUGUGAGCUGAGCUUGGGUGAUCUGUUUCCAUCUGUGGUCUGGUGCUGAUGGUUUCCAAGGCAGGAAUCAAGUCAGUCCUUGAAGAGCUACAACAGAGCAAAAGUGCAGGUAAACAAAGCAACACGAAGGCUAAAUAAAAGUCAUUUCCCCAAGCAAAAUAAGGGUAGGGACCUUCAGAUGGACAGAUUAGCCUGGAUUAAGCAGAUGGAGAAGCCGAGGAUCAAGGAUCGGGCCAGGAGCCAAGGAAUACUGCCACCUCUAGAAGUUGGGAACGGCCCUCAGCUUACAGCCACUAAGAAAAGGGGGAUUUUGGCCCUCUAGCUGCAAGGAAUCUAAUUCCACUUGAAUUAACAAGGAACAUCCAGGCAGGAAUGUAGCCCUGACAACACCCUAAUUUAGGCCAGUCAGGCCCGGACAGACUUCUGACCCACGGAAUUCUAAAAUAAUUUGUGUUUCUUAAACCAUCAAAUUUGUUGUAAUUUGUUAUGGUAGCAACAGGAAUCAAAUAUACCUCUCUACUUUUACAAGAUAUUGUUGUCUGCAGCCUGUUUGAAGUCGGUGACUAAACACAGCUGGUUACUAUGGCAGGCCCAUUCUGAAGAGUUGCAGGACACCCUCGGGAGUACUUUGGUUUGAAGCCUCCUCAUCACCUCGGCUGCCGUUUCUGGGAUCUGGGUUGCAGUCUGAGGCUCAUUUUUCCAAUUCCCAAUACUUCCUACUGAUGAUAUUCUUGAGAGUCAGGCUUUAUCAAGAGAGAAAAAGGACUUUAAAAUUUUCAAACUCCUUUUUAAAUAUCAGAGAUUUUUUUGGCCUACUUUGAUUACAGGUCCUUACUUAUAAGUCUCUCCUUCCUAGGGAGAAAAUAGAAAGCUUUAAGAGACAGAUUACACUUUACCUGACAUUCAUUUUUGCAUGCCUUGUUAAACAUGAAAGAAUGUGUUAAGGCCAUUUUUUAUUGUUUAAUUUGUUGUUUUGACUUUGGGUGUGUGUGUUUGUGUCAAUUAUUUUUUAAUCUACUAGAACAUUCAUUAUCCUUUUUAUUUUGGAAAACAAGGGUGAGAAAGGUUACGUGAUCUGGAGGUAAAAAUACACCAUUAUGUAAAGUUGAAGUGUCAUCCCCUGAAUCCACAUUGCACAUCUAUAAAGUAGAAGAACUUGUCUUACUCCAGUGUUUAGUAUUCGUUAGGUUAAUGUUUUUCAAACAAGCUUGAUAGUAAGAAGCAUUUGAGACUUUUGUUUAAAAUACAUCCCCCUCUACCACUGAAAGUUUAAUUUGGUAAGUUUGUUUGGACAUACAGAUUCUGUAUUUCUAAGAAAUAUUUAGAUGGUUUUUAUCAGACUUGGAGGUCC